rnacentral:rRNA from 1 species
GGACGAACGCUGGCGGCGUGCCUAACACAUGCAAGUCGAGCGGAGGGGAUAGGAGCUUGCUUCUUGAACCUCAGCGGCGGACGGGUGAGUAACACGUGGGUAACCUGCCCUUGAGAGGGGGAUAACAGGUCGAAAGGCCUGCUAAUACCGCAUAACGCUAAGAAGCUGCAUGGCGUCUUAGCCAAAGGUUAAUUCCGCUCAAGGAUGGGCCCGCGGCCCCAUUAGCUAGUUGGUGAGGUAAUGGCUCACCAAGGCGACGAUGGGUAGCCGGCCUGAGAGGGUGGUCGGCCACACUGGGACUGAGACACGGCCCAGACUCCUACGGGAGGCAGCAGUGGGGAAUAUUGCGCAAUGGGGGAAACCCUGACGCAGCGACGCCGCGUGAGCGAUGAAGGCCUUCGGGUUGUAAAGCUCUGUCUUCCCUGACGAUAAUGACGGUAAGGGAGGAGGAAGCCACGGCUAACUACGUGCCAGCAGCCGCGGUAAUACGUAGGUGGCGAGCGUUGUCCGGAAUUACUGGGCGUAAAGGGUGCGUAGGCGGCUCUUUAAGUGGGAUGUGAAAUCCCUGGGCUCAACCCAGGAACUGCAUUCCAAACUGGAGAGCUAGAGUGCAGGAGAGGAAAGCGGAAUUCCCAGUGUAGCGGUGAAAUGCGUAGAGAUUGGGAGGAACACCAGUGGCGAAGGCGGCUUUCUGGACUGUAACUGACGCUGAGGCACGAAAGCGCGGGGAGCAAACAGGAUUAGAUACCCUGGUAGUCCACGCUGUAAACGAUGGGUACUAGGUGUAAGGGGGGCGAAAGCCCUCUCUGUUGCCCGCAGCUAACGCAUUAAAGUACCCCCGCCUUGGGGAGUACGGUCGCCAAGAUUAAAAACUCCAAAAGGAAUUGACGGGGGCCCGCAACAAAGCAGCGGGAGGCAUGUUGGUUUUAAUUCGAAAGCAAACGCGGAAGGAACUUUACCAGGGGCUUUGACAUCCCACCGGAAACCCCUGUGGAAACCACGGGGGGUGCCCUUUCGGGGAACGGUGAGGACCAGAAUGGUGGCAUGGUUGUUCGUCAGCUUCGUGUUCGUGAGAUGUUUGGGUUAAGUCCCCGCCAACGGAGGCGCAACCCUUGCCCUUUUAGUGGCCAGCAAUUCGGUUGGGCACUCUAGAAGGGGACUGCCUGGGUUAACCCAGGAGGAAGGUGGGGAUGACGUCAAAUCAUCAUGCCCCCUUAUGCUCUGGGCUACACACGUGCUACAAUGGCCCGGUACAAUGAGUUGCAAAACCCGCGAGGGGGAGCUAAUCUCAAAAACCGGUCCCCAGUUCGGAUUGUAGGCUGCAACUCGCCUACAUGAAGCUGGAGUUGCUAGUAAUCGCGGAUCAGCAUGCCGCGGGUGAAUACGUUCCCGGGCCCUUGUACACACCGCCCGUCACACC